rnacentral:rRNA from 1 species
UACGUAGGGACCGAGCGUUGUCCGGAAUCAUUGGGCGUAAAGAGCGUGUAGGCGGCCCCUUAAGUCCUGCGUGAAAUCCUGCGGCUCAACCGCAGACGGUCGUGGGAAACUGGAGGGCUAGAGUGCGGGAGAGGAGAGUGGAAUUCCCGGUGUAGCGGUGAAAUGCGCAGAUAUCGGGAGGAACACCAGAGGCGAAGGCGGCGCACUGGACAGCAACUGACACUCAACUGCGAAAGCGUGGGGAGCAAACAGG